UGCAGCCCUUGUUCUAGUCUAGCGUGCGCCUUUCCCUACGCGUAGUAAUGGAGAGGAGGCAAACGCCUAGAGCGGCCGCGCUCUAACGUCCCAUCUAUCAAGCGUUGUUUUCCCUCUCGCUGGCGGUUUUGUUCGUCCGUUAAGCUCUGGCUGUAUGUGAAUUGCCUCGUUUUCUGACCUUGACCUUAAGUGGAGAGGCCCUGCCAGCUUUCUCAAGGCGUUUGGAAGGCGUGUAGAGGACCACUUGGAAAAAAUGGAUGGUGAACAAGGACUUGGAACUCGCCUUGCAUUUGUUCAUCGGGAAGAAAUUAAAGUGUCCUACGAUUUGGAAAAUUACAUUAUUUGCCGGACUGCAAACUCCACAAGUAUAAAUGAUAGAAAACGAAUAUGGGAAGCUGCUGGCAUUAGAGAUGAUGUGGUUUUAAAAAGACUUAAUUAUUUGGUAGAUGAUGAUGACUUUAUCAUGUGACUAACCUGUGCUACAAAUCAUGCACUUUGAGAAAAAUCCGAUUAAAAUAGCUGGAAACGAGGUAAAGAAGCAAGCAAUCAUGAAGAUUUGGCCUGCAAUAAUACUGCCUCUGCUGGAAUAUCAUGUAAAACAAGGUCAACAGUUCCACCACAAGCACCUCCAUCUUCGGCUAUGCCACCAAUACAUGUAAAAUGUAUAGGCUGUGGACAACAAAGUCAUCAUGGUGUACAUUAUAUGUUUCGAGUAAGUGGAUCAGAAAGAGCAAAGAAUUUUGUAACUGCAGCUAUUUAUUUUCAAGAUGACAGCUACUCUCAUGUGCCCGAUCUGGAAUCAGAUUACUUGGGCACUUGGUGCAGACAUACUGUACCACAAAACAUGUUUGGAAGAAUAUUGAAAGUUGUGUGGAAAUGGAACACGAAAUCAUAAAGACUAAAAACAAUUUCAGCUAAGGAUGUUGCGUUUCCAAAAGGUGCGGUGAUUUACCCGCUGGCCCAAUUCAGGUUAUAGCUCUGGACUGAGAAGAUGGCUGACUCUGGGUAUAAGACCUCCAUGUGGAAAAGAUGGAACAUGGGAACUGCCUCCGUUUCCUACCCUUUAAAGAACAGAAGAAGGAAAAGUUGAAAACCUGGCCCAGCAGUCGUCUGCUUAAAUUCAGAGAGCCAGUUUGGUGUAGUGGUUAAGAGCGUGGGACUCUAAUCUGGAGAACUGGAUUUGAUUCCCCACUCCUCCACUUGGAAGUCAGCUGGGUGACCUUGGGUCAAUCACAGCUUUUAGCAGCUCAGCUCCACCCACCUCACAGGGUGUUUGUUGUUGUGGGUAUAAUAAUGACAUACUUUGUAAACUGCUCUGAAUGGGUGUUAAGUCGUCCUGAAGGGUGAUAUAUAAAUCAAAUAUUAUUAUUAUUAAAUGCAACUAUCAAAAUAUUG